ACGGAAGGCAGCAGUCGGGAAUAUUGCGCAAUGGAGGAAACUCUGACGCAGUGACGCCGCGUAUAGGAAGAAGGUUUUCGGAUUGUAAACUAUUGUCGAUAGGGAAGAUAAAAGACUGUACCUAUCAAGAAAGCUCCGGCUAACUACGUGCCAGCAGCCGCGGUAAUACGUAGGGAGCAAGCGUUAUCCGGAAUUAUUGGGUGUAAAGGGUGCGUAGACGGGAUAUCAAGUUAGUUGUGAAAUCCCCCGGCUCAACUGGGGAAUUGCAACUAAAACUAAUAUUCUUGAGUGCAGGAGAGGAAAGUGGAAUUCCUAGUGUAGCGGUGAAAUGCGUAGAUAUUAGGAAGAACAUCGGUGGCGAAGGCGACUUUCUGGACUGUAACUGACGUUGAGGCUCGAAAGCGUGGGGAGCAAACAGGAUUAGAUACCCUGGUA
rnacentral:rRNA from 1 species